rnacentral:misc_RNA from 1 species
CAAGUUUUGAUUUCGAAGAUACAAGUAAAGAACGACUUUUAAAACUCGUGUGUAUCAAGUUUAGAAAUUAGAUUUCUAGUGCUGCGAGUCUAUAAUUUGUAUGGUCAUGGGCAAUUACGCAAGCAAGUUAUUUCAUAACGAAAAUCAAAAAGGAAGUAAUGAAAUAAGGAUCACACAGCAGGUUAUUAUACAGGACAACAGCAUGUGCACAUCAAUAUUACCUGAACGAAAAGUGUUGAUUGAUCCACGUUCAAUUUCAGCAGGAAUUACAAGGACUCCCAUUGAGGUUAAAUGCACUCCAGUUGGAGUAAUCAAAAAAGCACCUAGUGCAAUCCCCAAGUAUUUGCAGAAAAAGCAAUUCUUGGAAACUGACAUAGAUGUAGUAAUGCCACCACUAACACCGAAGAAACAUUCACCAAAAUUAACAGAUAUAUGUCAAUCAUCAGAAUCUGAUAAAUCGCAAAAUUAUUCAACACCAGAUGUUAGUGUUUUAAAGAAUUCAAAACCAAUUCAAACAUCAAUAGAACGUUACCAAAUUUUGGGAUUAGAUCCUAGAUCUCCAGCUGCAGAUUUCGAUAGAACUCCUAUUUUAAUACCAAAGUCUUUCGCAUCAAUGAAGACACGAUCUCAGGAAAAUUUGAGUCGCAGAGGCAGUUAUGAAAUGGACAUUUACAAUCCGAGAAACUCCUAUCAGAAUAUCAAUACAUCAUUUAGUAUUCCAGAAAUACAAUCAUUGUCCGAUGUAACUUCAGAAGGUUUAGAAGGUUGGAAAAAAUUAGACACAGAAAAACCAAACGACUCACAUAUAUCUAACUUAUGCCAAGCUAAUUCCUAUUCAAGUACUUCCGAAAGUGAGAAAGAAGUUACAGUUGUUAAAAAUCCAAAAUUUGAAAAUGCAAAGGAAAAACCAUUAACUUCAGAACAAACAAUUGUGAAUAAUGAGAAAGAAGACGAAGAUGAUGCGGACAAACUGGACGAUUGCAAAGAUAUUGACCACAGUACGAAGAUAAUACAGAUCAACGACAAUAAGAUCAAAGUAUGGCACGACUCGGAGGAAAACGUAUCAGACAAACAGCAGGAGAAAGAUUUUGUAGAAAAGUUAUUACAACGAAAGACUUCUUUAAGAGAAGAUGUAAUCAUAACUUUUGACGAAUGUAUGACUAAUACCUCUUUAUUCAAAACAACAAAAGUAAAAGGAGAUUGUCAGACGAAGGAAGAUGCAGAAGGAAAAAAGAAGAAGAGUAUAAAAGUAGAUGUUAAAUCUGUAUCAUGCGAAAGAAAAACGUUUACUCCUGAGAAUAAACACGAAACGCUUAAGAAUCGAACACCUCUCGGCAAUCGAUCUAACGAUGGUCAAAUACAAAAAAUACCAUCAAAAUCGCCGCAAUUACAAUUAUUGAGAAAUAAGACUGCAUCCACUAGAAUAGAGCAAGAGAAUACACCACCAUGCAAGAAAUAUAACGCAAAGGGUAAAUGUGAAAUUCAAUGGGAUCCAAAUUCUACGGUUUUCAUUUAAGUGCACAAAUUUAUUUCAAGAUUAAAUUUGAUUUUAGGACAAAAAGGGCGAUACAACUGAACUCAUUUGAAUCUCAGUUGAUACGGUGUUGACAACGAUUUCGAACCAGAUGCAGCGCCGCUACUACAAUUAUCACUAUUCCAGUUUAUCGGU